rnacentral:rRNA from 1 species
CGUAGGGCGCAAGCGUUGUCCGGAAUUAUUGGGCGUAAAGGGCGCGUAGGCGGUUGGAUAAGUCUUGUGUGAAAUCUUCGGGCUCAACUCGAAGUCUGCACGAGAAACUAUCUGGCUUGAGUGUGGGAGAGGUGAGUGGAAUUCCUGGUGUAGCGGUGAAAUGCGUAGAUAUCAGGAGGAACACCUGUGGCGAAAGCGGCUCACUGGACCACAACUGACGCUGAGGCGCGAAAGCUAGGGGAGCAAACAGG